CAGGGGCCGCGCUGGGCUGUGGGAUGCGGACCCAGGAGCUAGGUAGAGGGAAGAGGACGCGGGAAGCAGCCAUGGCUGAGGUCGGAGAGUCUGGGGCUUGGCUGCCAUCAGUCUCCCAGGCGAGGACGUGACUGCUGAGAGUCUGGAUCGUAGGAGGUUUAGGCGUUCGGAAAGCGGGUUGUGGAUACCUGCCUGGGCUUUUGAUUUGAGCCCUGGCUUCGGCCUUACUCCUGUUUCUCCCCGCCAAGGACGGCUUCAGUCGUUCUUGGAAUUGGCGGGGUUUGGACCUUAACUUUAUUUGAGAAUCUACUGCGUGUAAGCACGGUUGUCCUGCGGAGGGAUCUCUUCAGAGCGUGUGAGCUUGAGGGUGGGGGAAUGAGGGCUUGGAGACGCUGAGGUGUGGUCCUUACCCACGUGACACAUUGGAGGUAAAUCCGCUUUAUUAAUUAUGCUAAGCUUUUAUAUAAUCCAGAAGUUUAGGCUUUGGUAGGGUCGGUCGCCCAUUGACUGAAUUAAACGCUCUUGUAUUGAACUCCUUCUAAGUACCCUUUACGGAAACUAGUCCUUAUUCUUUAGGAACUCCUAACAGGACUGGUGGGAGAGAGGGGAGAAAACGUGAGUGGAUGAGGUGGCAGGUGAUGCGUGCUGUGGUGGAAGAAAAUGCUGUGAGAGUCAGAGAAAGGUUUGACUGGGGGAAAUAGAAAAGGUGACAUUUGAGUAAUCCUAAAAUCAAACUUAGGGAUUCUCCCCAUUGAAUGGAAUAAUGGAAGGCACUCCAGUGUAGCAGAGUGUACGUACAGACCAGAGAAAUUAGGAAGAUUUAUCUGUUGGUUAUGGCUGGAGCAAAGCUUGAAUUCCAUGUUAGGAGUCUUUCUGGAUCUUAAAACACAACGUAAGAUAGGUUCCACAAGAUAGUAUUCACAUGCUUCUGUAAUUCAGAGGAAGGCCAGAUACUUCCUUUUGGAUGAUGGCUUUAUGCAAAGUGUCAUUUUGGAGGGUCACAAACUGGAGAGGUGGGAUUGCUGUAUGGGAAGGAUUUCUACUAAGGGAAAUAAGAACUUCCUGCAUGGAAGGCACAAGGUCAAAUAGCGGAUUUAAGAAGAGUAUGGGUUGGGUAGACUGUAAAGUACAUGUUAGGGUUAUGGUAUUAAAGAUACAUCUAGGGCUGGGGAUGUGGCUCAAGUGGUAGCACGCACGCUUGCCUGGCAUGCGUGCGGCCUGGGUUCGAUCCUCAGCACCACAUACAAACAAAGAUGUUGUGUCCGCCGAGAACUAAAAAAUAAAUAAAUAUUUAAAAAAAUUAAAAAAAAAAAAGAUACAUCUAGGUCUGUUUUGUUUUGGUUUGGGUGCUGGGGAUUGAACUCAAGGCUUCAUGCGUGGGUCAGUAUUGAAACAUGGAGAAUGCUAAGCAUAGCAGUUUGGGUUUUAUUUCUUGGACCAUGGGGAAUAAUUGAAUGCUUGAGAGUAAUGAAAUAAUCACACCCCCAUAUUUUAAGGUUAGUGAGGGUGUACGUUGGAUGGGAGAAAAGCUGGAGGCAGUCUGGUCUAGUAGAAGGAACAAAAAUCAGGCAGUCAUGGGCUGGGGUUGUAGCUCAUUGGUAGAGUGCUUGCCUACCACAGGUGAAGCACUGGGUUUGAUCCCAGCAUCACAUAAAAAUAAAUAAAUAAAUAAAGUUAUUGUGUCCAUCUACAACUAAAAAUAUAUAUGAUUCAGAGCUCAGGAUUCCUAUAGAUUUCAUGAUUUUAGGCAGAUUUAUUUAAAUUAAGCUCUCAGUUCCCCCUCCCCACCAUUUCUGACAUAUUUGUUACACUUGUAAGGGAUGAAGAGCUAGCCCAUGUUUGACAGGAACCUAGUUAGUUUCUGUCUCCUUAUAGGGCUUAGUUGUUGAAAGACAAACAUAGAUCAAAAGCUGUCCAUUUUUAAUUAUGGAAUAUCAGUCUAUUGACAUUUUACAGACAGGAAGUAAGUAUAUGAUCACUCCAGAAUUGUAAUUCACAUAUUGACAAUAUGAUGACAAAUGUGUGGAGAAAGUGACUUUGUGAUACUGGUAUUUUUCUAUGUAAGCAAUAGUAUACAACCAGAAUAUAUCACUUGGAAUAAACUAAGUGUAGUCAGCUUUCUCAUUCAGAAAUUCAUUAUUCACGUUGUAGAUUACUCAGGAUUUGCCUUGCUUGCCAAUGGCCUCCCACAUUAGUGAAGGAUAGGAACCUGGAUGCUAUUAGUAGAAAAAUAAAUCUGAUAAUCAGGCCCAGUUUCUCUCUGAUGUUAAUUUGCUGUAGACUUUUGGCAAAUCAUAGCCUGAGUCUUGGAUUCUUAAAUUAGAAGAUUAUUGUAUAAAAAUUUUGUGACUGUAUUUUUGCUUGUUUUAGAGAGAGGGUCUUGGCUGACCUCUAAUUCCUGACCUCAAGUGAUUGGAAUUCCUGCCUUAGCCUCUCAGGUAGCUGGGACCACAGGCAUGUGUUACCAUGUC
rnacentral:lncRNA from 1 species